AAAAAAAAGUGUCCUUGCACUUUCUGGCUGAUUGUGGCAGCCCAGAUUGAAUGAGAA
rnacentral:snoRNA from 1 species